rnacentral:lncRNA from 1 species
UUGGCGGUUCCGGAGUCGGGAGUAAGACCGGGGCAGAAUGUGGGCGCAAGUGAGCCGAGGAGCUGAGGAGUUUUACGCUCGCCUUCUUCAAGAAUUUAAUGAAGAAAAGAAAGGAAUCUGUAAAGACCCAUUUAUCUAUGAGGCUGAUAUCCAAGUGCAAUUGAUCAACAAAGGUCAACCAAACCCUCUGAAAAAUAUUCUAAAUGAAAAUGACAU